ACCUGGGUGGCUCAGUGGUUGAGCAUCUGUCUUUGGCUCAGUUCAUGAUCCUGGGGUCCUGGGAUCGAGUCCCACAUCAGGUU
rnacentral:tRNA from 1 species